rnacentral:rRNA from 1 species
GCAGUGCCGGGUAGCUAUGUUCGGAUGGGAUAAGUGCUGAAAGCAUCUAAGUACGAAGCCCACCUCAAGACAAGGUCUCCCACUGGGUUAACCAGGUAAGACCCCAGCGAGACUAGCUGGUUGAUAGGCCGCAAGUGUAAGACGGGCAACCGUUUCAGCUAAGCGGUACUAAUAGGUCGAGGGCUUGACCAUCUA